rnacentral:rRNA from 1 species
AUGGAGCCGACCUUGAAAUACCACCCUUUAAUGUUUGAUGUUCUAACGUUGACCCGUAAUCCGGGUUGCGGACAGUGUCUGGUGGGUAGUUUGACUGGGGCGGUCUCCUCCUAAAGAGUAACGGAGGAGCACGAAGGUUGGCUAAUCCUGGUCGGACAUCAGGAGGUUAGUGCAAUGGCAUAAGCCAGCUUGACUGCGAGCGUGACGGCGCGAGCAGGUGCGAAAGCAGGUCAUAGUGAUCCGGUGGUUCUGAAUGGAAGGGCCAUCGCUCAACGGAUAAAAGGUACUCCGGGGAUAACAGGCUGAUACCGCCCAAGAGUUCAUAUCGACGGCGGUGUUUGGCACCUCGAUGUCGGCUCAUCACAUCCUGGGGCUGAAGUAGGUCCCAAGGGUAUGGCUGUUCGCCAUUUAAAGUGGUACGCGAGCUGGGUUUAGAACGUCGUGAGACAGUUCGGUCCCUAUCUGCCGUGGGCGCUGGAGAACUGAGGGGGGCUGCUCCUAGUACGAGAGGACCGGAGUGGACGCAUCACUGGUGUUCGGGUUGUCAUGCCAAUGGCACUGCCCGGUAGCUAAAUGCGGAAGAGAUAAGUGCUGAAAGC